rnacentral:lncRNA from 1 species
UGCUCCCAGCAAUAUCAUGAGAGAUAAAAACUCUUAUAAGAAUUAUGAAAUAGAGAAAAAGUCAUCCUUCUAUCUAGGCCCUAAAUCACCUUAUCUUAAUGCACCAUUUACCGCUACUCAGUACUACAGUCUGCUGGUAUUUCUAUUCGCUUAGAAGUGAGAGGUCUUAAGUUUGAAUAUCGUGGAUGGCGAAUUUGAUACCAAAUUAUGCUGCUCAUUGUGUAGCUUAGCCGAACUUCUAUUCCCCCUAGUGUAAAAAUAUUGAUGUACUAAAAAAAAAAUGCACCAUUUUCCAGUAUACCUAACAAACUCAAUCAACUUACCUCAAGUACUAUGCUAAAGAACUACCAUAUUGACCUUAUAGCGAUUAUAGCGAGACUAACUAACUUGUCUGAGGGGUUGGAUAUUAUCUUUUGUUACCGGAAAAACAUAAUACCUAUACAUAUUUUCUUUGGGAUUUGAGAGUCGCAAUUAAAAUGAUUUUUGCUAGAAAAGAGUGGCUUUUGUUUACUAGUUUCCAAUAGAAGUGGAGAAACUUGAUAUGUGGGAUUUGUCGAGGAUGGGCUUCUGUGUCCAACUCCUAAGAUGAUGUUGUAAAACAUGUGGUUAUCUUAUGGUACGUUGGAGAAUAGAACCGCAUAUCGGAAAUAUAUUAAAAUAAUACACAAUUAAUAUAUAGAGUUUUUAUUUUAAAUAUUACUGAGGGUUUUUGUGAUAAAACUCAACAUUAGGGAUGGGCAAAAUAUUUCCAGAUAUGGGUAA